GAUGAACGCUAGCUACAGGCUUAACACAUGCAAGUCGAGGGGAAACGGCAUUAAGUGCUUGCACUUUUUGGACGUCGACCGGCGCACGGGUGAGUAACGCGUAUCCAACCUUCCCAUGACUAAGGGAUAACCUGCCGAAAGGCAGACUAAUACCUUAUGGUCUUCACUGACGGCAUCAGAUGUGAAGUAAAGAUUUAUCGGUUAUGGAUGGGGAUGCGUCUGAUUAGCUUGUUGGCGGGGUAACGGCCCACCAAGGCAACGAUCAGUAGGGGUUCUGAGAGGAAGGUCCCCCACAUUGGAACUGAGACACGGUCCAAACUCCUACGGGAGGCAGCAGUGAGGAAUAGUGGUCAAUGGGCGAGAGCCUGAACCAGCCAAGUAGCGUGCAGGAGGACGGCCCUAUGGGUUGUAAACUGCUUUUGUAUGGGGAUAAAGUCAAUCACGUGUGAUUGUUUGCAGGUACCAUACGAAUAAGGACCGGCUAAUUCCGUG
rnacentral:rRNA from 1 species